rnacentral:tRNA from 2 species
AGGGGUAUAGCUCAGUUGGUAGAGCGGCGGUCUCCAAAACCGCAGGUCGUGGGUUCGAUCCCCUCUGCUCCUG